rnacentral:rRNA from 1 species
UCGGGAAUUUUGGGCAAUGGGCGGAAGCCUGACCCAGCAACGCCGCGUGAAGGAUGAAGUAUUUCGGUAUGUAAACUUCGUAAGAAUAGGAAGAAUAAAUGACGGUACUAUUUGUAAGGUCCGGCUAACUACGUGCCAGCAGCCGCGGUAAUACGUAGGGACCAAGCGUUGUUCGGAUUUACUGGGCGUAAAGGGCGCGUAGGCGGUUUGUCAAGUCAGUUGUGAAAUCUCCGAGCUUAACUCGGAACGGUCAACUGAUACUGUCAAACUAGAGUACAGAAGGGGCAAUCGGAAUUCUUGGUGUAGCGGUGAAAUGCGUAGAUAUCAAGAGGAACACCUGAGGCGAAGGCGGGUUGCUGGGCUGAUACUGACGCUGAAGCGCGAAAGCUAGGGUAGCAAACGGGAUUAGAUACCCCUGUAGUCCCUGAGCGGGCUGGCAAGGCGCAU